CCGUUAACGAACGAGACCUUAACCUGCUAAAUAGUUAGGCCAACGUUUGUUGGUCGUCAACUUCUUAGAGGGACUAUUGACUAUUAGUCAAUGGAAGUUUGAGGCAAUAACAGGUCUGUGAUGCCCUUAGAUGUUCUGGGCCGCACGCGCGCUACACUGAUCAAGUCAACGAGUUUACAACCUUGGCCGGAAGGUCUGGGUAAUCUUUUGAAACUUGAUCGUGCUGGGGAUAGAUUAUUGUAAUUAUUAAUCUUCAACGAGGAAUUCCUAGUAAACGCAAGUCAUCAACUUGCAUUGAUUACGUCCCUGCCCUUUGUACACACCGCCCGUCGCUACUACCGAUUGAAUGGAUA
rnacentral:rRNA from 1 species